rnacentral:rRNA from 1 species
UACGUAGGGACCAAGCGUUGUUCGGAUUUACUGGGCGUAAAGGGCGCGUAGGCGGCAAUUCAAGUCAUCUGUGAAAUCUCCGGGCUUAACCCGGAACGGUCAGGUGAUACUGUUUUGCUAGAGUGCGGAAGGGGCAAUCGGAAUUCUCGGUGUAGCGGUGAAAUGCGUAGAUAUCGAGAGGAACACCAGAGGUGAAGACGGGUUGCUGGGCCGACACUGACGCUGACAGCGCGAAAGCUAGGGGAGCGAAAGGG